CAUCUCUCUUUCUGACUUUCCUUUCAAUUUCGCAGGAUAGAAUCACAGAGAAGCUGGUUUUGGCGGGGCUCAAUUCCGGAGUUCGCUUAUUAAAAAAGGCAGCGUAUGCUACAGUUGGAGCGGGGUCGCAUAAUUUAAUGGGCGGAGAUUUCCUUAAAGGUGGACCGUUGGAUGGUCCUCCAGAUGGUCUUACACAAGAAAAAAGGGUAUUCUGGGACCCGCAAGGACCUCAAAUAUUUUUCAAAAUUCAAAAACCCAAAAUGCCCUCCAAAAUCAGCACCCAUCAACACCCAUCUUCUCUACAUUACAGAUCCAAACAUGGACAAAGAAACCCUAGACACAGCUGUUGGUACUACUCGGGGCCCCGGAGAACCCGAAUCCAUUCCCGAUGUG
rnacentral:misc_RNA from 1 species